rnacentral:piRNA from 1 species
UGAAUUAUGUAAGGAUAAUACGCCUGCCUCC